UUACACGGGUAUGAGUAAUGGGAGUCUCUUUGGGAGAGUCUCUUUUUUCUUUUCUUUCUUUCCUUUCUUUCUUUCUUUCUUUCUUUCUUUCUUUCUUUCUUUCUUUCUUUCUUUCUUUCUUUCUUUCUUUCUUUCUUUCUUUCUUUCUUUUUUUUUUUUUUUUCUUCUUCUCCCCCUUCCCAUUCAAGAACAAGCCAGGACAAGUGAUUCUGGAAAAGGGGAGGGGACUGGCCAGAGGGAGCGAGGAUACUUACGCGGUUGCAGAAGGCAGUGGGACCCAGCGUGGUUUUGCCGGCAGGGAGAGGAGGACACGCGCGCGCACACACGCGGCGGUGUCUUGCGGGUGAUGAAUGUGAUAAUUGGAGCGGGGCCGAUGGCAAACCUUUCCUCCAGAAGGAACCAAUGA
rnacentral:lncRNA from 1 species